CUGUUGAUUCUUGACCCCUUUUACAUCUUUGUAUAGUUCUCUGGAUUGUUUGGAACCAAACAGAGGAUUUCCCGAUGGGGAGUGGUGGAUAAGUCUUUGUGAACCUGUAAAAGAAAAGAUGGGAGAGAACAGGAUCCUGCUCAGAGUGACUACCCUGCAGGAAUGAGAGAGGUAGUCUGGAACUCACAGCUGCCCCUAUUGGUCUAAACCACUGUUUCUCAUGACCUCUGAAACACAGCUGAAUUCUGGGGACUCAUGGCUCUACAACAGCAAUUUUACUCUCAGAUGUCACUUGGCAGUACCUGGACGCAUUUGAAGUUGUCAUGUUGUUAAAAGGCCCACAAUGACUGUAAAUCAUGCUUUGAUUAAACGAGAGGCAUAGGCGCUAUAGAUGAUGCAGGGAUGUGGUUCCAAAUCUUGACUGGCUUUGCGAGUUCUGCAAUCGUGGAGAGCUUCCUCUUCGGUUAAUUGUGAUGAUCUGGACAAGUGCAAUUAUCAAUUGCCAAAAGAGGAGAGGGGCAACUAAAUGUUACGUUAUUCCUGGUCAUCAUAUCAAAGAGUAAACAGGAGUACUUUUGAAAUAUUGUUGCCAGACUGUUAUCUAGGUGUUUGGGGAUAGAUGGGACACAAAGAUGACAGAAUAUUGAGCCUCGCUGAAGAUUCACAGCUUCCAAAGCAGCAGGAGACAUUUGGAAACAUCUGUGGCUAUUCUGGUUGUCAUUUGACGAGGCUGGGGACUACUAUGCUGCCAGCUAAUGGAUGGAGCCCGGGGACGCUGCUGAACAUCUUAUAAGAAGCACAGCACACUCCAGACAAACCUCUGCACAUUAUCAGAGUUAAGAGACAGGUAGUAAGAUGUAGAAUAUUCAAAGGUCUCACAGCAGUUCACUGACUAAGGGAAAGAGCAGCCGAGGGGAAAUUGGCACUAAUAUGUAGAGUUAAGAGCCUUGAUUACAGUAAGCACAAGUUAUAGGGUGGCACAAGGGAGAAAUGCUCAGAUGGAAGUAUAAAAGAAGAUUGACAGAGAGAGGUUUGCAGGCGCUGAAAGUGCAAAGCUCACUCCCAAGGUUAACCUAAGUUUGCUGGAGCGACCAAAGAAAGAGUUCUGAAAUGAGGAAACUGAAGAGCUGUAGAGCCUGGCUGAGGAAGCUCUGACUCAUCAGGAUUCCUGGAGGAAGGAUAGCAGUGACCUUAGGUUCUGUAUUUCAAGUUUAUCCUUCAUUUACGAACAGUGGAGAAUCACUAUGAUGAUUAAGGUAGUAAGAAAAAUCAGAGGAACUCAUGGAAAGGUUACAGUCUACUGCAGAGACUCUGGAUUACAACAGGAAGACACGGAAUGCACCACUGGAGAUGAUGCUGUGGCAGCAGGCCAAGAAAUGGGAGGGGAGGUGAACCAUGGCAGAAAGAUUUGAGAUAGAGACAAAGAGAAAAAAAUGAAGAAGAUUUUAUAGACAGAAUCAGUGACCCUAAUGAGGAGCCUGCAGGUAGUGAAAGAAAUCAAAAAAGACAAGUCUUUUUCUUUGGAUCUGGGAACUUGUGCAGGAACCAUGAAACGUGAUGCAGACAAAGGAGCUUGGCUCCCUGGGAUAGUGGAUUCAAGAGAGUCCCUGAGCUUAAUGAACAUACUGAGUUUAUGGAAAGGGUGAGUCAUAUAAAUGGAGAUUUGGGGUAGCUUUUUGAUGAAUCUGGCACUCGGGGAACUGUCUUGGAUGCAAGACUUCUAGAGACUAGGAGGAGAUGAAAGCACAGCUUUGGAGGGGAUGUCAUCUGUUCACUCUGCAGCAAUGAAGGAAAGAAGGCACAGCAACAUGAGCGAAUGGUGGUGUUGAACCUAUAUGGUCCAUUCUGAUGGACCAGCCCUGAUAGAAGGGUUUCCAGAAAGAAAAGAUGUGUAAGCAACCGUGAUCAAAUUUUAGUUCUGAAUACAGAUGCAAAGUGAAAUGGAAGAGCUAGACCCAUGACUCUGACCUAGACAAGCUGGUUGAUUUAAGACUAAGCAGGAACAAUAACAGCCAAUAAGCAAGAUACAAAUCCAGGCCAAUCCAAAAAGCUAGUGCCUACACACACCAUGGGAUUCUAGUUACCAACUACUCCUGCAAUGACCAGUUGGGCUAAGGGUCUACCUCACUAGUAAUUCUUUCAGAGACUGUGUACAACUCUUUUAUGAAGGCAUGAAGAAACUUGGGGCUAGCCCAGGUCACUCAAUUACACUUGUCUCCAUGUUCCCUUUUCAGGCAGUGACCUAUUGAUUGCAGCUCAUUCUCCUUGUUCAGUCUAAUUUAGUGAUAUUGUUAUAGCUAUGCCUCUUGAUCUGUCUAGCAAUCUUGCCAAACUCCUAACCAUAAUAGGACAGUCAUCAUGAAUAGACCAAUUCCUGACAACUCUGCGGGGCUUCUUUCCUUCUGCUCUACAGACACAGUUUUCUGUUUCUUUACUGUAAGCUCUGCCACCCUAAACAACUGUAAAUUACAUGACAUGUGUUUUUCUUGAUCCUCCUGUUGCUUUGGAUACAAUAAGAAAUCAAUCAGUUUAUUAAAAGGAA
rnacentral:lncRNA from 1 species